AGCAAACUGUAUGACAUUUAAUUUGGGACGAAGGUAGUAUACUUGUUUUUAUCUAGAAGGGCUAAUGAUUCACUAAUUUGGUUGGUAACGGAGUCACCGGCAUUAGCAGCAUAACAGGAAAUCCUAAUUCGCGUGAACACUUCAUGGUCGUAUCACGACCAAUCCGAGGCUAGUGUUUAAGGAUGUGGGAAGAAGGAAGUGAGGGAUUAGAUUUAGAAGGAUGAUUUGGGAGACGGCGAACCAACGUAUAUGAGCAGACAACACUGUCAUAGCCCAUAGCCAUGGGGUUGGUUGUGGGUGGUGGGACAAUGUUUGGUGGCAGGGGCAAAAACAAGGCAAAGGCGGGGGGAGGCCGGCCAAAUAGGGCCGCGUGACAUGUUGAUGCCUUUCGGCGCCGGGGAGGACGCACGGUGGCAAUGGUAAGGGGGGAGAGGGUGUGGGUGUGGAGAAAAGAGUUGGCUUGGUUGCCAGAUCAGUCUGGUUAGAGGGAGUAGGAGGGGCUCACUAGAGGGAGGUAUUCGCUGUCUUCGUUGCUAGAGGGAGGACACUCGCCUGCCCCUUCUCUUCUCCAUCGGAGGAAGCUUGCCAGAGUGAGGAUGAGGGAGUUUGCCGGAAGGAGGUGGAGAAAGCUUGUUGGAAAAGACGGUCACUGCUGUCGUCGCUAGAGGGAGGCCACUUGCCCGCGACUUCUCUUCUUGCUAUGUUGCAUGCGCUGAUAGGUGGUGCCUCUCGUGUGCAAUGGAGCAUUGGAGAGAAAGAAAAUAAGGUGGAAAGAGAAAGGAGAAGAGCGAGCCACGCGAAUGCUCGCCCAUAAGAGCCCCCCCCCCUCAGCGCCCCCCAAACACCAACAUAACUCAACUUUUCUUGAAUGAUAGUUUUAGUGGUAUUUUUGCAGUUUUCUAGUGGCAGUCUUGCAAUAACGAUUCAAAGCAGUGGCAAAUUUGUAAUUACCCCUAAAUUUAUCUUAAUGUUAAAAUUUCAAGCAUUGAUAAACUUGGAAAAUACUUAACUUCAAGAAAAAGACAUGCAUAGUUUUGCCUUGGAAAUUACUUCCAUAACCAACAAAAUUUAUUUUGCAGAUUUAUUCUAAUAAAAAAGGCGCAUUUGCAAAUUUGCCACUGUUUUUUUCAAUUUUGCAAGGAUACCACUCGAAUGAUAGUUCUAGUGGUAUUUUUGCAAUUUUCUAGUGGCAGUCUUACAAUAACGAUUCAAAGCAGUGGUAAAUUUGCAAUUGCCCCAAUAAAAAAUGUGGUAAAGUGGCACCAAAAAUAAAAAAAAAGUCAAACAACGUGUAGUUAUAGCCAGAGGAAGUUACUUAGCAAAUUAGCAAAGCAAUAAAUCAGCUGGUGUGGGUUUAACGUUACCUACACAAAUUCACGGGGAUUGCCAUUUAGUACAACUACGUUCCAAGCACAUAAGUACAUUUCUGAAAACUUUUGUAAAAAUACUUUCCUGCGAAAAACUUUCAUCUAAAUUAAUAAAUGUGCACAUGGAAAACUCAGGUUAUAUAUUCCGUACAUCCACCAUCGUGAGAGACUAGAUGGGAUCGUGUGGAGGAUAAUACCGAGUGUUAUUAUUUAGGUAUGGUCAUUUAAGGGACUGUUUAUCUAAUGUUCGAUAGAAAAUCUGUCUAAAAAUCUAUUAAAUUUAAUUAUAAUAUAUAAGUGAUGUGUAGUUAUAAUAUACUUAGGCUAUACGUCACAUGUGCCUAUACAAAACCCUCACCCACUCAGUGGGAGAGGGAUGCACACGUGACUCUUAUGUCGGGGAUUGAAUUUGUGCAGGAACGUGAUAUUUUUCCUUGCACGAAUCUCAACUUACCUCCAACGGGUUAGCACGAAUUUUGAGGCACAUCUAAUUGUUAGAAAUCUACCAAAUAUAGCUAAAAAAUUUGUCGGGUAGGAGAAAACUGUAGACUAUCUAAAUAGGAGGGGUUGUUCGUGUUGUACUUAAAAUAAACCUUACUAAAUUUUGUCAAUGCUAAAAUUUUUGGUAAGUUGACGAUAUUACUAAAAUUUUGGCAGGAUUCUUUUAUAUAUUUACCAAAGUUUGAUAAGAAAUUAAAUGUAUGCACAUCUUUAACAACUUUAUAAAAAAAUAGUAUAGUUUGAAAUAGCAUCAAUCUGAAUAGCCUCGAGAAAAACAAAUUUUCUAGGAUUUGCUGGGCUUACUCAGGCCGGACUUGGGCCGUGUUAGUCAGCUGCUGUUCACAAUAUCUAACACGGACUAGCGAAGUACCUUACGUACACGGUACACGCGGGCCGCGGCCACGCGCAUCGCUGGCUAUGGAGUCCCUCUCCCGUACCAACGCCACGCCAUGGAAAAUAAGCGCGCGAUUGGCAACGAAUUGGUCCCGCCGGACGGAGCUCCGCUGCAAAUCUGAUGACUGUUCAAGCCUCCCAACUCAAUUAGCCCCUCCAGUUCCUGGGCUCGUGGCACGCCAAAAUAUCGUGUAGGAAGACGCAAGCAGAGGAGAACAGCAGGGGAAGGCGUAAAGAGGAAAAGGAGACCACGGAAGAGGAAAAUACCAAAAGAAGACGAAGGCCCAAGAUAUCAGCUAUUAUUCAGGUCAGGACUCGAGGAAAAGGAUCGUGUUUAACGGCCAUCUAGAUGGGCACGCUUGUGGACGUGUUAGUUCGUC
rnacentral:lncRNA from 1 species